AGCAGAUUAAGAAAACCGCAGUGAUUGAUGCUCCUGGUGAGGAGCUGCUGAGUGCAAUAGGUCUAUCAAUUGGAGUUGUUGCUGCCAUAUUAUUUCUAUUUCUUGUGUAUUUUGUCUAUAGAAAAUGUCAAGAUUCAAACCAGAGGCCUCAGCCAGAAGAGAAUGAAGAAGACUCAGCUAACAGAAAUGCUCCUGUUGCCUCACCAGAGGGUGAUGUUUCUGAGGACGUUUUACUAGACAAUGUGAGGCGGGAUCCUGCUGCAGGCAGUGCUUCCAAUGAGGACACCACUGCUGCUGCUGAUAGAGAAGAGAAAACAAACCUAUUAAGCCACAGCAAAGAAGAUUCAGGUCAAGAUUCAAACCAGAGGCCUCAGCCAGAAGAGAAUGAAGAAGACUCAAGACUCUGACAGAAAUGCUCCUGUUUCUGAGGACGUUUUACUAGACAAUGUGAGGCGGGAUCCUGCUGCAGGCAGUGCUUCCAAUGAGGACACCACUGCUGCUGCUGUUACUGCUGAUACAGAAGAGAAAACAAACCUAUUAAGCGACAGCAAAGAAGAUUCAGAUGAAACAAAAUCCACAGAAAGUGACAAAGACAAAUGAAUCAGAUCUGGGAUCAGAGCUGGUGCAGACAGGGAGGCAACAACAGAAGUUAAAGGGUUAUGGCAGGAAACUGCUAACACCUACAGUAUGUGCAAAGAUUUUCCUUCAUACAUCAGAGUGGAGAUAAGUUUCAACAGAGGUGUGUUGUGUUUGUGUCCCACUCUAUGUCCCUAAUUACAAAGAGAGUGAAACACAUUUACUAUCCCUCCCUGCUUAAUAGACGGGUUUACGAGGAGCGUCACAUGUGAGAUGUGUGCAGGCGGGGGGCAGAAAGUUAACCAGAAUGACUGAGAGCUUAUGAGAAGAUCAACGUUUGAUGUUGAUUUUGUUCCUUAAACUGCACAAAUCAGAGAAGUAAUGGAUGGAAAAUGUUCAUUAUCUCAAGAAGGGAAAACCUCCCAGUUAGCUCACAGUUCAGAAUUAGCUGUUAGCUUCAGAGAUCAGGUCAGAGUCCAGGAUUUUAUGAAGGAGGUGGAUGAUUUUACACUGAAACUGCAGGAAGAAACGUUAAGUUUAAGGUCAGACAGCUCACUCUGUUACUGAGUGUUUAUGAAUGUUUAGUGUAGUUUCAGUGUGUUUAUGUAUAAACUGAUGGCUUUGGGUGGAAAAUGCGUCCUGUUCUUACGUAAAAAAUUUUCAGAGAGAAAAAUCUGUGAAGAAAGGUGAACAUGCUUUCUGGUCAUAAUCCUGUGUGCCUGAUCAAUAAUACUGAUUAAAUCCUGUAUUGCCUGUAUACACUGCAGGUCAGUGUUGAGUAUAGUAUGAGGAAACAGCAGGAUUUUUGUUAAUGUUAUGACUGUGA